rnacentral:lncRNA from 1 species
UUAACACAAUGUGUUACUUUUUGUUUCUGUAGAAAUUUUUGUCAUCUAAGGAAAUAAAUGAGUUUAAAUAUUUCCAAAACUAGGCCUUCUGCCUAGAAAACUCUUUCAGAUUUGAUCUUUUGUAUUUUCUUUCAACUACACUUUAGGUUUGUGAACAGAGGUCAGAUUAUCUUGUCCCUCAUCCUGCAUUCUUCUCCGCCAGUCCCUGCUCACCCCCUCCAGCCCCUCAUUUGCACUGUCUGUACCAGCUUAUAGAUUGCAUACCUGAUUAAGAACUUCUUGAAGGUAGGGAACAUUCUCUUUAUAUGCUUUCUCCAAUGCCUAAUAGGAUGUUUUGUUCAAAAGGUGCUUAAAAAAAUGAGGACAUGAAUAUAACUGUGGUCGUGUUGUGUAUAUUCGGAUGCAGGCACUGUCAACUAUGAUGAGGCUAAAGUGGAGGCUUUUUAUUCUCGAAGGAUGACAGUUGAAUACUAUGACAGGGAUCACGUAUGCUACACAUUGAACAAAAACAGUCUUUUUCCCAUUAUAAUUUAGGCUAAUCUAUGAAAGAAUUAAAUAAUACAGAAAGCUAGUUUACUUCAGUAUGUUGAUAACAAGUUACUACAAGGGGUGAAAUAGGCUGAAAAGAGUAAGCUUGGAUAAAUGUAGAGGCAAGAUGUAGAAUGGAUAGUCAAGGGAAGCUGCAUGUUUUGAGUAAAUCUCUGAACUUUGAAGCUAAUGUGAGUAGCUGCCGUCUUGGCGUCUUUGCCUUGAUUGAGCCAUUCUAUUGGACUGGCAGGGCCCUGAUCUUGACAGUAGGGCAGUUCUCAUGCUCACAGAGAGUGUAAUGUAUCAGUUUUAAUUUUGUAAUUAUUUUAUCUUUGUUCCCAGCACCCUUCAUCAUCCUCACCUAGCAAAACCCCAACCUGUGAGAUAAGGAAAUGAGGUCACCAACCAGGAUCAGGAUGAGGAAGGAGGUGAUGGAGAUUUGAGGGGAGGUCAGGGAGGACUUCCUGAAGAAGUAAUUCUCGAACCAAGAUAGGGAAGAAGAGGAGGAGAAGCUGAAUACGCCAAGAGGAGAGAAGAUCCUUCCAGGCAAAGGGAAAUACACCUUCCUGUGGGUGGAAGCGUGGUGAGAGCAAGGGACUAAGGAAGGCCUCAUUCCCUUGUAUCGGACACCUCCCUGAUGGCUGACAUGAGGGCCACCAGGAACGCAGGCUCAGUUCAACACACUGAUGACCGUGAAGUUACUGUGUUAGUCUUUCUGGUCCCAAGUUCAGAAAUUCCAGGGAAAGACUUUGAUGAACCCUCUUGGGUCAGGGGACUAGUUGGAGGGGUGGAGCAGCAUGCCUGGGCCAGCUUGGGUCACUUCCUCACCCUGAGACAAAUCCCUGUGGCCAGAGAGGUGAGAUCUCUAAAAAGAUGGCAGCUACCUCCAAAUCCCCCUUCAAACGUGGAGAGGCACAUUUCCCCCGGAGAACAUGAGGAUGCUCCACUGACUAGACAAGGCACUAGAUGCCCACUGUAGUGACUGAGCAGGAGGGGCUUUUUGUGGUCCAAGAAUUAAGAGGUUGGAGACAUAGUGUUCGGAGAAGCAAGAUGACACCACGUUGGAACUUUGGGAAGAAAAAACCUUAGGAAAAACUUCCUGUAUCAGGAAGUGGCAAGUAAACUGUGAGUAGUGAUAUUUUAGUCAGUUUUAAGUUGAAUAAAUGCCCUGUGCGGUUCCCAGGGAAAGCUGUUGCCUGUGAAAGCUUUGUGUUAAUGGGGCCUGAUCCAAUUAACAAGACGGGCCGUGUCCUCUUCAAGGAGAAGAAGUUUAAUAGAAGAUAGAAACCUGCAGGAGCAGUUGUUCCAUGAUGGAUGGUGACUGCCAACUGAACUGGGAGUUAUAGUUUUUCAGAAAGAAAAAAAGAAGGAAGGUGAUAGGUGAGCAUCAGGAAAAUGCUAGCACCAUUUUCCUUUCCGAUCUCAGCAUCAUCUCGCACUGGUGCUCAGUCCUUCCUAUUUGUCUCUCUACAUCCAUUUUACACCAUCAUCCCAGUUUGUGGAGAGACUGACCUGAAUGAACUGUGUUCAUGAGCAUCCUUGUGUGCUACCCAUGAGAUGACCAGCAGCGUGGGGAGGAGGUGAGGCAGGGUGUUUAGUCCGGGGCUCCCUGUUGGUUCACCCUGGUCCUGUAGAACGACAGGGCAGCAUCUGCUCUCUCCAGGGGUAGUGACAGCUUUCUGCUAUUGUUGGUCCUGAGAUCCUCCUCCAUUCCUUACUUCUCCAAACUCUGCUCACUCUUUUUGUGAACAAUCCCCUUGUUAAACUCUAUUCAAUUUCCCAGUCUGAGUGCACAAUUUAUUUCCUGCUGGGACUCAGGCUGAUAUAAGGACGUGGGGUAUUCUAACUGAACAAUUUUAGGGAGCUAAAGAAGAUAGGGGUGAUUGCAGACUGUUUUGUGGAGUUUGUGUAGAGGCACAAAGACAAAUCUGAGGAGACUGAAGUUAUACCGCAAAACGCCCCACAGAGAACACGCACUCACUGAAACCAGAUGUCUGCAACAGUCAGAGAAGGAAGCAGCCUGAUGCCAAAUGGUCCACAUCCAGGUGAUCAUCACAAAGGUAGAAACAUGAAUUAGAAUACAUUUUGGAGAAGUUUGCAAACGGAUGAUGCCCUUUCUGCAUUAUUGAACUCUAGCCAGUCAAAGGUUCACAGAAAGGUGAUGAUAAUAAUGCACUUUUUCUCUAUUUCUUUGGCGUGUACACCCUCCAGCUUUAAUGUCUCCUUUGUUGUAACAUUUAUUUGGCAUGUCCUGUGAUCCUUGCAUGAUAUUGAUCUAUAAAAUUGGAUGAACAAACAGGCCACCAGUUCACCUGUAUCGAAAUAGCUCUAAAGGGGAAGACAUCUGGGUGGAUAGAUGAGACGGCACUUACGCAGCCAGAGGAACCCAAAAUAAACAGAAGGAAAAAAAAUAAACCUGAGAUGCCGCAGAAUUCGGGAAGCAAUUUAUAUACUAACUCUAUGACGGUGGAGGAACUUUCAGGAGAAAAAGUCUGACAUUAACCUACGAUGGAGACAGCAGGCUGCACUCAGUGAUCGGUAGGCACAGUUUUUGAAAUGAGUGUGCGUUGCACUUGCACUUGCAUUUGUGAGUGUGCACAAUGCUCAUAGAUAGAAGAGAAAGAGCAAGUUAUGGUUCCUUGUUAUGAUCUUAGCUUAGUGCAUCACCUGACAAAGGGCUUUGCAUAUUGAAAAUGUAAGCAUUAGUUGAACAAAUGAACAGAAAUGUCUGCUGAAAAAUGAGCACAAACCACCAGCAUGUUAAUAAAUGAACACUUUUGUUCUCAGUGUAAUGUUCUGCUUGUUUAACUGAUUGUUGUUUUGAUUGCAAUCUCUUCACUGACGAUAGUAUUGAUAAACCUAUCAAAGAGAUAUAUUGAGUGUCUGUUUACUGAAAGUAAAUUGCUGGGAUUUCAAACACCUUUUGGAUCUACUCCUAAAGGAGUUAUAAAACAUCUCUUAAUUUGUUAAUCAUUAAUAUUUGGCCCCUGUGACUUGUGUGUGUAAAUAUACACAGUAGAUGCUCAUUUUGUCAAGUUGUUUCUGACUCAGAUGCUGUGUUUCCUUGGCCACUUCUAACCUGAGCAAAAGUGUGGGUGACAGAGUAGUGAAAAUCCAGAGUCUCCAUCACGAGUCUCCAUCACAUGAACAAGUAGAAGAUGUGUCCCCACAUGGAGGCUUACUGCCAUCGUCUUUAUGUAUUUAUGAAUUUGCAUAGUAACGAAUGCCCUUUUAGGUUGAAUUAUUAGAAUUUUAUCAAUGCCUCGAUCGUUACUUCAAAAACUAAUUUUGUGCCAUCUGUGUUCAUUGGAUGAGAGGAAAAAGGAGAAAAUAUAUUUCAUAUGUCAGACUCCUACAUAAAUGUAGGUGCAGCUUUGACUUGAGAUGCAACACUGGGCUGCUAUGGAAUUUUUACAUGCUGUGUAAUAAAAGUCUGCAAUCUGAUACCUCACACAUCUCCAUUAACCUCCGACAUUGAAUUUGUUCGAUUCUGAUUGUUUUUUCAUUGAUACAAGUGUUUGGUGAGGAAUUAGGAGCUUUCCUUCACAAAUGUUUUGUUUGAUUUACAGCAUUUUGGGCUGUGAUAUUCCUGGUUAGAAUACUUUACUGUUGAAUUCUUUAAAAAAAAAAAUCAGUGGAACUCCCAGAGGAUAAUGUGCAUCAGUUCUAUGUUAAAUUCUUUGUUCAGACUUAUUAUUUCAGCCUCCAAAAUGUGUUUUCACUAACAUAAUAGCGUGAUAAAUGCAAAAAGUGUGUGCGCAGCUUUAAACAUUUGGAAAUGCUUCUAAAGGUCGCUUUUCUACUGGGCAGCUUACUUUUUCUAUAAAGCUGUUUCUGUUCCAUACCCUACUGUCCCAAGGUUUCCAAAAGUUGAACAUGAACUCUGGAGGAAUUCUCCUUUGGACUUAAAAACUGGAGUUGCCUGGCAGACAGUUUUUAUUCUUGUCUGACUGAGUUCCCCAGCUUUCUCCCUUCUUGUGUCCUUGGACAUCAGUUUCACUUGUUUUCCUUUGAAUGGGUCAGAGUGGUUUCUCAACUUACAGUACAUAAACCUCCCAGCUAAGUGUCAUGUUCGUCCUGGACUGUCCAUGCUGCUCCACUCUCCUGUUUAACCUUCCUCAUCACCUCCUCUCCUCCAGCACUUAGUAGACAUGAACCAUCAAAAUUCAAUGCCACCACCAAAACAGCCUACAUCACGAAGACAGUCUACCCCUUUACACCCGUAUCUGCUCUUCCCGAGCUGGCAGCCAGUAGCCACAUGUGGCUGUUCAGCACCUGCCGUGGAGCUAGUCCAAAUUGAGAUGGGCUGUAAGUGUGAAGCAUGUACCAGAUUUCCAAGACUUAGUGCAAAUAAAAAGGAUGUAAACAUCUUAUUAAUAAUUUUUACAUUGAUUACAUGUUGAAAUGGU